ACUGGUAGUGGUAGGAUACAUGCCAUUUCUUCUCCGUCUUCGUCUUCUCCGUCUCCAAGGUACUACAAGUAGCAGGGGCGCUAGCUCGCCUCGCCAAACAAUCAACCAGUCGACCUGCUGCAACUAGCUUUCUCCCUCUCAUUUGUCCUCUCAAGUCAGCAUCGUAAGCUUAAGAUGAGUUCCUCUUCCAAGUCCAACACAGUACGGGUGCAGACAACAAACAAGCAAUCGCUAAGGCGCAUAAGUCAGCUUGUUGAAAAAAAAGCAUCGGUUAAGCACUAUCGGAUCGGCGAACAUAAGGACUUUCACUAUAUUGACUUCCAGUUUUACACUCGAGAGGAGGCUGACUUUGUUUUCGCUGAGGCUGAAGGAUGCUCUGUUUUGGGAACCAUGGUAUUUCUAACCCAUGAUAUUGAGCCCGUGGCAAAUCCAAAAGGUGGUUGUACAAUGGAGUACGUGGAGACAAAACCGGAUGAACGUUAAAGAGGCUCCUCCUUGAUAUUCGGUGGUCUGCAGGAGAGAAUGGAUUCUACAUUAGUCGUUCAAGCAUGCCCGUCGAAAAGAACCUUUUCUCAGAAUCAACUUGUUAUGUUAGUGAUGUGUUUUAUUUGAUUAGCCAAGUGUAUGGCUUUAGCCGGAUGUACGAGGACUUGUUCAGUCGAUGAACUAUAUGUGUGCGCUACCUAUUGUAAACUUAAUUACUGAUGAACUCUGCUUGUGUGCUAGGUAUUGUAAUAGACUUAACUAUGGAUGAACUCUAGUGUGUGUGCUAGCUAUUGUAAUAAACUUAAUUAUUGACGAA